rnacentral:rRNA from 1 species
GUGNCNAAAAANAACNAAGNCCGUUUUNUANAGGCCNGGUCAUCGNAAUGGGUCCAAUUUNAACCCNUUUAACGAGUAUCUAUGANAGGCCAAGUCUGGUGCCANCACCNCCGGUAAUUCCAGCUCUCAAAGGCAUAGAAUUAUUGCUGCGGUUAAAAAGCUCGUAGUUGGAUCUGUGCCAUAGGACGUGGUCCACCUUCGGGUGCGUACUACGCUCCUAGGCUUUUUGCUGGUUUUCCCGUCGUAGCCUUCACUGGUUGCGGCGGGUGGCUGGCGAGUUUACUUUGAGAAAAUCAGAGUGCUCAAUACAGGCGUAUCGCUUGAAUGAUUGUGCAUGGAAUAAUAGAAGAGGAUUUCGGUCCUCUUUUAUUGGUUUUGUGGACUGAGAUAAUGGUUAACAGGGACAAACGGGGGCAUUCGUAUCUCUGCGUGAGAGGUGAAAUUCUUGGACCGUAGAGAGACGCCCUACUGCGAAAGCAUUUGCCAAGAAUGUCUUCAUUAAUCAAGAACGAAAGUCAGAGGUUCGAAGGCGAUCAGAUACCGCCCUAGUUCUGACCGUAAACGAUGCCAACUAGCGAUCCGCCGGUGGAUUUUUAGCCCUGGUGGGUAGCUUCCCGGAAACGAAAGUCUUCCGGUUCCGGGGGAAGUAUGGUUGCAAAGCUGAAACUUAAAGGAAUUGACGGAAGGGCACCACCAGGAGUGGAGCCUGCGGCUUAAUUUGACUAAGGGC